rnacentral:rRNA from 1 species
UAAAGGAGAGAUCCGGCAUAGGAUGGACAUGCGUCGCAUUAGGUAGACGGCGGGGUAACGGCCCACCGUGCCGACGAUGCGUAGGGGUUCUGAGAGGAAGGCCCCCCACACUGGUACUGAGACACGGACCAGACUCCUACGGGAGGCAGCAGUGAGGAAUAUUGGUCAAUGGCCGAGAGGCUGAACCAGCCAAGUCGCGUGAGGGAAGAAUGUCCUAAGGAUUGUAAACCUCUUUUGUCGGGGAGCAAAAAGGCUCUGCGGAGUCGUAUUGAGAGUACCCGAAGAAAAAGCAUCGGCUAACUCCGUGCCAGCAGCCGCGGUAAUACGGAGGAUGCGAGCGUUAUCCGGAUUUAUUGGGUUUAAAGGGUGCGCAGGCGGCGUGUCAAGCAAGCGGUAAAAUAGCGGGGCUCAACCCCGUCGAGCCGUUUGAACUGGCGCGCUUGAGUUCAGGCGAGGUAGGCGGAAUUCGUGGUGUAGCGGUGAAAUGCAUAGAUAUCACGAAGAACUCCGAUUGCGAAGGCAGCUUACCAGUCUGCGACUGACGCUCAGGCACGAAAGUGUGGGUAUCGAACAGGAUUAGAUACCCUGGUAAUCCACACAGUAAACGAUGAGCGCUAGGUGUCCGGGUCGCAUGAGACUUGG